UACGUAGGGGGCGAGCGUUGUCCGGAUUCAUUGGGCGUAAAGAGCUCGUAGGCGGUUUGGUAAGUCGGGUGUGAAAACCCCAGGCUCAACCUGGGGACGCCACCUGAUACUGCUAUGACUUGAGUCUGGUAGGGGACCACGGAAUUCCUGGUGUAGCGGUGAAAUGCGCAGAUAUCAGGAGGAACACCGGCGGCGAAGGCGGUGGUCUGGGCCAGUACUGACGCUGAGGAGCGAAAGCGUGGGUAGCAAACAGG
rnacentral:rRNA from 1 species